UGGAGAAUUAACGUAGCAGGUUAGGAGAAUUAACAUAGCAGGUUAGGAGAAUUAACGUAGCAGGUUAGGAGAAUUAACGUAGCAGGUUAGGAGAAUUAACGUAGCAGGUUAGGAGAAUUAACGUAGCAGGUUAGGAGAAUUAACGUAGCAGGUUAGGAGAAUUAACGUAGCAGGUUAGGAGAAUUAACGUAGCAGGUUAGGAGAAUUAACGUAGCAGGUUAGGAGAAUUAACGUAGCAGGUUAGGAGAAUUAACGUAGCAGGUUAGGAGAAUUAACGUAGCAGGUUCGGAGAAUUAAUGUAGCAGGUUAGGAGAAUUAACAUAGCGGGUUAGGAGAAUUAAGGUGGGGAAUGCUGAAGCAUACGUUGAUGAAAGUUUUACUGUCUCCAUUUAGAGGCCCAGACUUUUGACAUAGACGGUAAAA